GCUUCCCUGGCUCAGCUGGUUAGAGCGUUGGUCUCAUAAAUGUGUUUGUGAUCUGGAUAAACUUCAGAGCGAUCCAAAGGUCGUGAGUUCGAAUCUCACGGGAAGCA